AGAAUCAACGCUGGCGGCGUGCCUAACACAUGCAAGUCGAACGAGAAAGUGGAGCAAUCCAUAAGUAAAGUGGCGCACGGGUGAGUAACACGUGACUAACCUACCCUGGAGUGGGGAAUAACUGAGGGAAACCUUAGCUAAUACCGCAUAACACCUACGGGUCAAAGGAGCAAUUCGCUUUGGGAGGGGGUCGCGGCAGAUUAGCUAGUUGGCGGGGUAAUGGCCCACCAAGGCGAUGAUCUGUAUCCGGCCUGAGAGGGCGCACGGACACACUGGAACUGAAACACGGUCCAGACUCCUACGGGAGGCAGCAGUGGGAAUUUUGCGCAAUGGGGGAAACCCUGACGCAGCAACGCCGCGUGGAGGAUGAAGUCCCUUGGGACGUAAACUCCUUUCGAUCGGGACGAUAAUGACGGUACCGGAAGAAGAAGCCCCGGCUAACUUCGUGCCAGCAGCCGC
rnacentral:rRNA from 1 species